rnacentral:lncRNA from 1 species
CGCCUCGAAAUCCUCAAGCUAGCCUCCAAAGAAACCUGCCCAACCAAAACUCGCUCCGGCACCGGUGGAAUUCUCGCUUUCGUCAAGGCCAUCGGCCGAACCAAGCAGAGCAUCAAGAAGCGCAUUGCCAAAUUCGUCUCCUCUGUAGAAGGCGGAGGAGGAUGCCGACGACCUCCACCUCUUCCCGAGCUGGAGUGGAAGCCAGCCACAGCCACAGCCA